rnacentral:rRNA from 1 species
UACAGAGGUCUCAAGCGUUGUUCGGAUUCAUUGGGCGUAAAGGGUGCGUAGGUGGCGCUGUAAGUCAGGUGUGAAAUUUCGGAGCUUAACUCCGAAACUGCAUUUGAUACUGCGGUGCUCGAGGACUGGAGAGGAGACUGGAAUUUACGGUGUAGCAGUGAAAUGCGUAGAGAUCGUAAGGAAGACCAGUGGCGAAGGCGGGUCUCUGGGCAAUAACUGACGCUGAGGAGCGAAAGCGUGGGGAGCGAACAGG